CCAAUCCUACUCUUUUUUCAUCCUUCUCUCGUCUUUCUCAUGGCUGGCAUUGGCUUUCUCAUUUUCCCAUCUCACUCAUGUUUCUAACUUUUUAAUGGUGUUUCUAAUUCCAUUCAUCCUUUACUAAUUACCUAAACUAAUAUUAAUUGAAAGAGCUUAUUUGCUACAUAUAAAGUCAUCUGUGGAGGGAAUUGACAUACACACCGUGGUCCCAGACUUCAAGAGUUCAUGUCUAAUGACAGAAGUAGCCCAUAGCCCCAGUCUUACCAUGAUAAAAAUAUCAGAUGAAUUCUAAUAAUGGAGCAUCCUACAAAAUACCAGACCAGUACGCCUUAAAACUCUCAAGGUCAUCUAAACAAAGUCUGAGAAAUGACCACUGCCAAGAGGACCCUAAAGGGACAUAACGUAACUGUAAUAUGGAACCCUGGACAGAAAAAGACAAUGAGGUAAAAAACCAAGGAGAAGGCUUUUGAUACUUCCCCCCAUUUCCGAUCUGGAAUGUGAAUGUGAUGACUGAAGCUGCAAUAACCAUCUUGCAAUCGUGGAUAAAAGCCACACACUAGAGUUGGUGGAGUUGGAAAGAUAGAAGAAAAUUGAAUCCUUGAUGAAAUCAUAAAACCGUAAGAGUGACUGUGCUGGCAAUUUUGGGGCUCUUUAUUACAUGGUA